UACGAAGGGGGCGAGCGUUGUUCGGAAUCACUGGGCGUAAAGGGCGCGUAGGCGGCCCUCCUUGUCGCGUGUGAAAGCCCCGGGCUCAACCUGGGAACGGCGCGCGAGACGGGGGGGCUGGAGUUCGGGAGAGGAGCGUGGAAUUCCCAGUGUAGAGGUGAAAUUCGUAGAUAUUGGGAAGAACACCGGUGGCGAAGGCGGCUCACUGGCCCGUAACUGACGCUCAUGCACGACAGCGUGGGGAUCAAACAGG
rnacentral:rRNA from 1 species